GUGCUCGCUUCGGCAGCACAUAUACUAAAAUGGUAACGAUAAGAGAAGAUUAGCAUGGCCUCUGCACAAGGAAUCCUGCUUUAUUUACUUCAUCCUU
rnacentral:snRNA from 1 species